UACGGAGGCAGCAGUCAGGAAUCUUGGGCAAUGGGGGAAACCCUGACCCAGCCACCCUGUGUGAGGGAUGAAGGCCUUCGGGUCGUAAACCUCUGUCAGAGGGGACGAAUCCGGUAUGGGUGAAUAAUCCAUGCCGUUGACAGUACUCUCAGAGGAAGCGCCGGCUAACUACGUGCCAGCAGCCGCGGUAAAACGUAGGGCGCGAGCGUUGCGCGGAAUUAUUGGGCGUAAAGGGCGUGUAGGCGGCCUUUUAAGUCCAGCGUGAAGUCCUCCGGCUCAACCGGAGAAUGGCGCUGGAUACUGAUGGGCUAGAGUUCGGGAGAGGGAGGUAGAAUUCCCGGUGUAGCGGUGAAAUGCGUAGAUAUCGGGAGGAAUACCCGUGGCGUAAGCGGCCUCCUGGCCCGACACUGACGCUGAAACGCAAAAGCGUGGGAGCAAACAGAAUUAGAUACUCUGGUAGUCCACGCCAUAAACGGUGAGCACUAGGUGUGGGAGGUAUUGACCCCUUCUGCGCCGUAGCUAACGCGUUAAGUGCUCCGCCUGGGGAUUACGGCCGCAAGGUUGAAACUCAAAUGAAAUUGACGG
rnacentral:rRNA from 1 species